rnacentral:lncRNA from 1 species
AGCUAAUGCCUUUGUAAGAAUCAGUCUGUUUCUUCCAGGUUGUCCAUUUUAUUGGCAUAUAGUUGCUCACAGUAGUCUUUCAUGCUUCUUUGUAUUUUUGCAGUGUCAGUUAUAACUUCUCCUUUUUCAUUUCUAAUUUUAUUGAUUUGAACCCUCUCCCUUUUUUUCUUGAUGAGUCUGGCUAACGGUUUAUCAAUUUUGUUGAUCUUUUCGAAGAACCAGCUUUUGGUUUCAUUGCUCUCAAUUGUUUUCUUUGUCUCUAUGUGAUUAAUUUCUGCUCUUUAUGAUUUCUUUCCUUCUACUAAUUUUGGGCUCUGCCUAUUCCUCCUUUUCUAGAUGUUUAAAGGGUAAAGUUAGGUUGUUUAUUUGAGUUUUUUCAUCUUUCCUGAGAUAUGUUUGUAUUGUUAAAAACUUCCAUCUCAGAACUGCUUUUGCUGUGUCCCAUAGGUUUUGAAUUAUUUUAUCUUCAUUGUCAUUUGCCUCUACAUAUCUUUUAAUUUCCUCUUUGAUUUAUUUAAUAAUCCAUUGAUUUAGUAGCAAGUUGUUUAGCUUACAAGAGUUUGUGGGGGUUUUUUUGCUUUUGUAUAGUUCUGUUUUGCUUUUGGGGCUGCACCUGAGGCAUAUGGAGGUUCUUGGGCUAAGGGUUGAAUCGGAGCUACAGAUGCUGGCCUACACCACAGCCACGAGCAACAUGGGAUCCAAGCCACAUCUGUGACCUACACCAUAGCUCACAGCAAUGCUGGAUCCUUAACCUACUGAGUGAGGCCAGGGAUCGAACCCACAACCUCAUAGUUCCUAGUCAGAUUCGUUUCCACUGCACCACAACAGGAACUUGAAGAGUUUGUGUUUUUUGCUUGUUUUUUUCCUUGUAGUUGAUUUCUAGUCUCAUAGCAUUGUGAUCAGAGAAACCUACAAAGUUAUUAUGGGCCAGGGUCUUUAGGGGAGCCUUGUUAGCUGUUUUGGUGUCUUUUGCCUGCUGUUCAUAAUCUCUAAGAUCAUGCUAGAGGCAGAUGAGCAGCCCUCAGGGGUAGAGUAGACACCAAUAGCAUUCUCAGCAGCACUGUCAUUCUCCUUCCUAUGCAUGUCCAUCUUGAACUGGGUCUGUUUUGUGAUGUUGGACAUAGUGGCAUGCCAAGACCAGCUCAGCAGGUAGAGCUGAAGAAUGGGUGCUCUGAAACUUAAGGAAAGAAGUUAAUGUAAGACAAGAUACAGAGACAUUUAUCUUAAGUAAAAGUGGGAACUGAGGGACUCAAGGUCUCAGGAACCAAGAGCCCUGUCUCAAGAACCCCCACUGCUUUUAUUGUGCUCUUUAGGAUUCUGUCAAGUGAGGAGGGGGUUGUAGGUGCAGGGUAUAGGUUUUUUUAAAUUGUUUUAAAAGUCACAUAGCCAGUUGCUGAUUAAGCUUUUAUUCUACCUUUAGGCAUUUAACAAUAGUUAGCAUUGAGGAAGCUUGGCCUCAGCUAUCUAUGCACAACAUUCUAGAGAAUCACCAUUGUGCUUCUGCAGAUGGCGUGCCUAUCUGCAGCAACCCAGCCUGCCUAGGUUUGCACCUUGAUUCUCCUUGCUAAUGUAUAUCCUGCUAAUGACCCCUCAUGAACCCCUUGGGGCCAUGAGGCUCAUCUUAUUCUUUAGAGGACAUAUCAUGCUGUGCAAAUGGUGUGUCUAUCUGCACAGGUCCUGCAUGCCUAGACCAAUGCAUUAUGUCCUCAUUCACCUGACCACAUGAAUAACUUAUGCCUUUAGGUCUUUGUUCUUAAGCUUAAGUCAUUUACCAGCACUGCGACUGUUUUCCAAGCAGGAAGAUGGGAUAAAGAAAAGCAGGACAAGAUGGAGUUUUCAGCCUAGAAAAUAGAAGCAAAGAGGCUAAGAAAAUAUUGUAGAAACAUGUCUCGCAACAGUGGCACCCCCCUUGCCAAUGAUGGCAUCCAUGUAACUGAGUGGGCACCAGGAGCUACAGGGGUUGUCCACUUGCUCCUGCUUGGCUGGGGCUCUGGCUGCCACGGGGGAGCCCUGGCAGGGCUGACCCCGAAAACUGAAGCCUCCCAGGUGCGCAUUCUCAGGACCUGGUCUCUUUGCUCAUCAUGAAUGCAGGAGACCUUCAAGGCGUGGCUCUCCAGCUGGUGGCCAUUCAGCUUCACCAUGUCUUGCCUGGUCUGUUCCCAGUUGGAGUAGGUAACAUUCCUCACUGCCGUCUCACUCGCAGUGCUUACUUGCUCACAGUUCUCUACUGUACCAUACUGAACCAGAAGGCUGUCUAGGACUUCCCAUAACAGCUGGAGUGGAAUAUUUCAGAUCCGUAUUUUCCACCUUCUUUGUUUUCUGGGAACAGAGUGUUCAAUCCAUAGGCAUUUUCCUUGCAGUUCCACUUUCCCUGUUGGGGCCAGUCAGAGGCAAGGCCAGCCACAUUAAAUUCAUAAUUAAUUCUACUGUUAAACAGUAAAGUAAAUAAUUUCCAAUUCAGGUCAACAAAUUGUUACCUAAUAAUAGCCUUUAGGUUUUGUUUUUUUCAGAGAUAGUUAUUUUCUAUAAUCCAUGCCAUAGCUGCCUCCUUUUCUUGCUCUGUAUCUGACUAUGGAUUGGUUAAUACUAUUUGAACAGAGGUUAAAAUAUUCUCGCUGAUUUGCUUCCCAAUCUUCCAACUUACUAUCUAGGUAAAAUGUCAUUAUAUUUGAAAAUAUUUUGUAUUGAUGAUAAGGGUUUGCUAGCAGUCCCAUUAAUAAAAGAUGACCAAAAGUGAUGGAAAAAAUAAAGAUAAUAAGUCUUAGUAUUCCUCAGGUAACAUUUAAGAAAGAAAAGUGUGAAUGAGGAAAUGGGAAAGCAGAAAGGAGGUGAAGUAGAGGCGUUCCAGUGGGGCCAUCAGCACAAGCAAACCUGAGGGUGACAUAAAGGUCCAUAGGAAUGGAGAUUUCACUGGCCAUUAGGCACUCAGUCCUCUGCAUGCUUCCCUGUGACCAGCCUCAUCAAGGCAGCCCCCUGAGAGAGAGCAUCCCACCAACUUAAUAGCUGAGAUGGCCCCUGUUCGACCCCAGGAAUUGCUAUAACUCACCUGAGUGCACUUUGAAUUGGCCCCCACCACACAAUCUGGCUGAGCUGGAGUAAAUUCUGCAAUGAGACUCUUGCCUCACUGCAAAUUCCAGUAGCACAGUGGCAGCCUUCCAGUCAUUUUACAAGGUUGAAUGAGAAGAGCAGUUAGAGAAUGAGAAAAUUACAGAGGACUGCAACCCAAGAGAGCAUAGAAAUUAGCAAUUCAUUAUUGGAAUGGAAAAUGUGGCAAAGGGAUUUUGAGAAUGCUGGUAUCCUGGCAGAGACAGCCAGUCACUAGAAGGUUCUGGUAACACAGUAAUAAGCCAUCUCCUAGUUUAUCUUCACUCAGGGCUCCCCCUGCUUAGAAAAUUGUGCAGCAUUCUUUCCCUCUCAUCUCAGGCCCCCUGCCAUUCUGAGCAGGCAAGUGUGGAUGUGAUGUUUGGGAGGCUCAUUCACAGGGAAUCUCUAUUUGUUUCUGGUUUAAUCAGUUUUCUGAGUGCUGUAAACCAGUCACCACCUGUGAUCUGUGUGGGCUGUUGGCAGUGUGUACUGUUCAGGAACAGUUAACAGGAUCCUAACACCUGCUUGGAUCACAAUACACCUUGACAGAAGAGCCAGGCAUAAGAUGUCAACAUCAGCACUGUUACAUCCUGGGAGCUCCUCUGAAGUCCUGUGACUUGUCCAGAAAUGAUAAUUAUGGAGGAAGAAUAGCUAAUAGUAAUUAUGGAAUAAUAAACACUGACCUAAUUGAAUUCUUGCUAUGAAUAAGGUAGUACAUUGUAAGUAUCCUACAUGUAUUAUGUUAAUCAUUAGAAAACCUCUGUAGGAGAGUUUACAAUUAUUAAUUCCAUUUUGCAGAUGGAGAAAGUGAGACCAUGGGAGUUUAAUUAACUUGCCCAAAGGCACCUUGCUGGUAACGGUUAGAGCCACAGUUUGAACUAAGUCAGUCCAUUUCAGGGUCCUUUUUCCUAACUACUACAUUGUAUGUCAUCUAGUUUGUUUUCUUGGUGGGCAUGACGGGUAACUGUUUGGUUCUCUAGGUUGCAUUAGUCUAAGAUCUGUGUGGAAUCU